GUCAGGAUGAACGCUGGCGGCGUGCCUAAUACAUGCAAGUCGAGCGAAUGGAUUAAGAGCUUGCUCUUAUGAAGUUAGCGGCGGACGGGUGAGUAACACGUGGGUAACCUGCCCAUAAGACUGGGAUAACUCCGGGAAACCGGGGCUAAUACCGGAUAACAUUUUGAACUGCAUGGUUCGAAAUUGAAAGGCGGCUUCGGCUGUCACUUAUGGAUGGACCCGCGUCGCAUUAGCUAGUUGGUGAGGUAACGGCUCACCAAGGCAACGAUGCGUAGCCGACCUGAGAGGGUGAUCGGCCACACUGGGACUGAGACACGGCCCAGACUCCUACGGGAGGCAGCAGUAGGGAAUCUUCCGCAAUGGACGAAAGUCUGACGGAGCAACGCCGCGUGAGUGAUGAAGGCUUUCGGGUCGUAAAACUCUGUUGUUAGGGAAGAACAAGUGCUAGUUGAAUAAGCUGGCACCUUGACGGUACCUAACCAGAAAGCCACGGCUAACUACGUGCCAGCAGCCGCGGUAAUACGUAGGUGGCAAGCGUUAUCCGGAAUUAUUGGGCGUAAAGCGCGCGCAGGUGGUUUCUUAAGUCUGAUGUGAAAGCCCACGGCUCAACCGUGGAGGGUCAUUGGAAACUGGGAGACUUGAGUGCAGAAGAGGAAAGUGGAAUUCCAUGUGUAGCGGUGAAAUGCGUAGAGAUAUGGAGGAACACCAGUGGCGAAAGGCGACUUUCUGGUCUGUAACUGACACUGAGGCGCGAAAGCGUGGGGAGCCAACGGAUUAG
rnacentral:rRNA from 2 species